CAGGAAUUGCCACAAUAGACAGCCGGGCGAGGUUUGAAGGGCCAGAACAUACCAACAGUUCACCUUUGAAACCAGGAUCCAGCGUGGCCUUGAGAAAUAGGCAGUGUCCAAAGGGUCGUACUAUUCUGACCUAUCGUAUCCCCGAUUUCACUAAAGUGAAGGCUAAAACGAACACUUUUAAUACACAGAAAUCGUGUGUUCAAAACAUCCAGGUUCCAUCUCAAGACGAACUACAAACAAGGAAUGACGAAGACAGUUCUCUUACUACUGACUCCUUAUGUGAAGGUGAAGGAAUUGCCACAAUAGACAGCCGGGCGAGGUUUGAAGGGCCAGAACAUACCAACAGUUCACCUUUGAAACCAGGAUCCAGCGUGGCCUUGAGAAAUAGGCAGUGUCCAAAGGGUCGUACUAUUUUGACCUAUCGUAUCCCCGACUUCACUAAAGUGAAGGCUAAAACGAACACAUUUAAUACACCGAAAUCGUGUGUUAAAAACAUCCAGGUUCCAUCUCAAGAUGAACUACAAAAAGGAAUGACGAA